GAUGAUCGCUGGCGGCGUGCCUAAUACAUGCAAGUCGAGCGAACAGACGAGGAGCUUGCUCCUCUGACGUUAGCGGCGGACGGGUGAGUAACACGUGGAUAACCUACCUAUAAGACUGGGAUAACUUCGGGAAACCGGAGCUAAUACCGGAUAACAUGUUGAACCGCAUGGUUCAACAGUGAAAGACGGUCUUGCUGUCACUUAUAGAUGGAUCCGCGCCGCAUUAGCUAGUUGGUAAGGUAACGGCUUACCAAGGCAACGAUGCGUAGCCGACCUGAGAGGGUGAUCGGCCACACUGGAACUGCGACACGGUCCAGACUCCUACGGGAGGCAGCAGUAGGUAAUCUUCCGCAAUGGGCGAAAGCCUGACGGAGCAACGCCGCGUGAGUGAAGAAGGUCUUCGGAUCGUAAAACUCUGUUAUUAGGGAAGAACAAAUGUGUAAGUAACUAUGCACGUCUUGACGGUACCUAAUCAGAAAGCCACGGCUAACUACGUG
rnacentral:rRNA from 1 species